GCCGGUGUGGCGGAAUGGCAGACGCGGCAGACUCAAAAUCUGUUGUAGGCGACUACGUGGGGGUUCAAGUCCCUUCACCGGCACCA
rnacentral:tRNA from 1 species